CUGCCCCAUAUCUGCCAACUGCAUUUCCUGUUGAGGUGGUGUCAACUUGUAGACUAGUAUCUGCAUCUGCACUUGUUCCUCUUGAGCACAAGGUACAGAUUAAGAUCUGGGUUAAGACAGAACACAGAAAGUUUCAGUCAAGACAAGAGCUAACAAUAUGCUGAGUCUUAGCCUGCUGGGAGCAACCGUCAGCUUCAUUUCUUUAGCAACCAGCAUGGCCCAGAAGGUAACUCAGGUUCAGACUUCAAUUUCUGUGAUGGAAAAGAAGACUGUGACAUUGGAUUGUGUGUAUGAAACCCGGGAAAGUACUUACUACUUGUUCUGGUACAAGCAAACAACAAAUGGGGAAAUGGUUUUCCUUAUUCUGCAAGAGUCUUACAAAGGAAAUGCAACAGAGGGUCGUUAUUCUCUGAACUUCCAGAAUUCAGAAAGUUCCAUUGGACUCAUCAUCACAGCCACAUGGAUCGAGGACUCAGCAGUGUAUUUCUGUGCUAUGAGAGAGGGCACAGUGGCAGAGGAGUCUACAAGAGGCCCAUAAAAACCUCAACCAGAGAGAGGCUCUGCGGAGAGACUCCACAGACAGGGAGAGGCGGGGCCUGGGAGAGCACAGGAGGGGCUGACAAAAAGCCUUAAUGCGUUCAUGUUGAAUGUCUUUCUUUAUCAGUCAUGGGAAGUGUGCAUGUUCAGGACUGAAUGGGUCUUCUGAGUAUGUAUUAUGGUCUUC